AACGAACGCUGGCGGCAUGCCUAACACAUGCAAGUCGAACGAGACCUUCGGGUCUAGUGGCGCACGGGUGCGUAACGCGUGGGAACCUGCCCUUAGGUUCGGAAUAACUCCCCGAAAGGGGUGCUAAUACCGGAUAAUGUCUUCGGACCAAAGAUUUUUCGCCUUUGGAUGGGCCCGCGUUGGAUUAGCUAGUUGGUAGGGUAAAAGCCUACCAAGGCGACGAUCCAUAGCUGGUCUGAGAGGAUGAUCAGCCACACUGGGACUGAGACACGGCCCAGACUCCUACGGGAGGCAGCAGUGGGGAAUAUUGGACAAUGGGCGAAAGCCUGAUCCAGCAAUGCCGCGUGAGUGAUGAAGGCCUUAGGGUUGUAAAGCUCUUUUACCCGGGAUGAUAAUGACAGUACCGGGAGAAUAAGCUCCGGCUAACUCC
rnacentral:rRNA from 1 species